GAUGAACGCUGGCGGCAGGCCUAACACAUGCAAGUCGAACGAAGUCUUCGGACUUAGUGGCGGACGGGUGAGUAACACGUGGGAACGUGCCUUUAGGUUCGGAAUAACUCAGGGAAACUUGUGCUAAUACCGAAUGUGCCCUUCGGGGGAAAGAUUUAUCGCCUUUAGAGCGGCCCGCGUCUGAUUAGCUAGUUGGGGAGGUAAAGGCUCACCAAGGCUACGAUCAGUAGCUGGUCUGAGAGGAUGACCAGCCACAUUGGGACUGAGACACGGCCCAAACUCCUACGGGAGGCAGCAGUGGGGAAUCUUGCGCAAUGGGCGAAAGCCUGACGCAGCCAUGCCGCGUGAAUGAUGAAGGUCUUAGGAUUGUAAAAUUCUUUCACCGGGGACGAUAAUGACGGUACCCGGAGAAGAAGCCCCGGCUAACUUCGUGCCAGCCGCCGCAGUAAAAC
rnacentral:rRNA from 1 species